rnacentral:rRNA from 1 species
CCUAGGGGUGGCAGCAGUCGAGAAUCAUUCACAAUGGGGGGAAGGCUGAAACAGCCAUGCCGCGUGAAGGUCAGUGCCCUAUGGGCGUUAAACUUCUUUUGUGCGGGAGCAAUACUGGUCACGUGUGGCCAGACGAGAGUACCGUACGAAUAAGCAUCGGCUAACUCCGUGCCAGCAGCCGCGGUAAUACGGGGGAUGCGAGCGUUAUCCGGAUUUAUUGGGUUUAAAGGGUGCGUAGGCGGACAGUCAAGUCAGCGGUAAAAAUGCGGUGCUCAACGCCGUACAGCCGUUGAAACUGGCAGUCUUGAGUGGGCGAGAAGUAUGCGGAAUGCGUGGUGUAGCGGUGAAAUGCAUAGAUAUCACGCAGAACUCCGAUUGCGAAGGCAGCAUACCGGCGCCCGACUGACGCUGAGGCACGAAAGCGUGGGUAUCGAACAGGAUUAGAUACCCCUGUAGUC